GGAAUCUAUUACCUAUGUGUCUGAACCACCUGAGACCACACUAGAAACAUCGCCUCUGCCUUCUCAAUCUAUAACCCUACCCAGCCCAGAUGAGCCUCAGACUGAACCUGCUCCCAAGCAGACACCACGUGCUCCUCCUAAGCCAAAAACAUCACCACGCCCAAGAAUCCCACAAACACAACCAGUUCCUAAGGUGCCCCAGCGUGUUACUGCAAAACCAAAAACGUCACCAAGUCCAGAAGUGUCAUACACCACACCUGCUCCUCUAGAGACACGAGGCAUCCCUUUUAUACCUAUGAUUUCCCCAAGUCCUAGUCAAGAGGAACUACAGACCACUCUG
rnacentral:lncRNA from 1 species